ensembl:lncRNA
CAGUUCAUCGUGGCCCUGUAGUUCGCCUCCUUCACCAAAGCUCUGUCAGGGACCUACAUGAAGAGUGCCAUCACUCAGAGAGACACUUUGACCUGUCCUGCUCUCUCAUCGGACUCAUAGACAGCAGCUUUGAGAUGGGUUUCAACAAUAACAUUGAGUUGCUUGAGAAUUCAUGUAGUAAAAACCAGAUACAGACUACAGUAACCUGCUGUUCCUGGCUGUGGUCAGCCAUUUUGGGGCGAAGCUGCACCGGCCCAGGCUCAUUGCUAUGGGCUGUUUCCUCAUGGCUGUAGGAUCCUUCCUCACAGGCCUGCCACACUUCUUCAUGGGACGGGCUAUCAGGAGAGCUACCCAGUCCCAGAGGGCCAUCGUGGCUUCAUCAGUGAUGCCAGACUUCUGCAGAUGCAGAGAGCUGAGAGAGAGACCAUGGAAGCAAAGCAAAGAAAGAUAAGUGCUAUCCAUGAGAAUUAUGUCCGGACUGCUCUCAUCGGGGUUGGCAGCACCUUCGCGCACCACUUCGUCCCCUCUAUUCAGUGCAUUCCGUGGCCGAAAGCUCCACCGAGGCCUUUGCCACGAAGGCUUGAGCACAUAGCUCUGGCCCCACUGAAGAACGUGGUGGGGGUGGACGGUACCCAAGUUCGACCCGGAUCUCACUCUCUGGAGUCCAUCCAGGUAAAUAAGUCAUUCAGCAGCAGUAACGUGUGGCCUGUUCCCGUCCCUCCCACUGGAGCUCCCUCCAAGAGGGGCAAGAAGAAGAAGGGCAGGCGGGGAGUCAAAGCCCUGAAAGUCCAGUCGGAUCAGGGCUGUGCUGACAACAACGGACCCAUUGACCUGAUGGAGGAGGUGAGGGACAUCGAGCCUCACCUGAAGGAGGAGGCCUGGAAGGUGGUACAUGAGGUGAAGGCCAUGGGCAGGAGAAGUUUGGGCUCGGCCAUGUCCAUGGGGGAAAUAGCCACCAGCUCUCUGGGAAGCCUGAGCUCAGUGGAUAUGAACACCCCUGCGGAGCUCCGUGACUACUUGGAUGUUGGGACCCCGGUCAAGUUGCGUGACAGCCCACCCAGGCCUGCUCCCCCCCCCUACCAAGCCCAGGAGCAAACAGCCUCGGCCUAUAAGGUUCCUUAGCCUGCCAAAGGCUGCCACCGGCUCAGGGAGAAGAAGAUCGAGGGCUUGACCUCUCUCCGUGUGAUGGCUCAGAACCACAUGGACAUACUGAUGCCUAAACUCCAUGAUAUCUGCCUUGCCAUUAUAAAUGAGGUAGCUGUAUUCAUUCACUGCCCUAUUCAUUCAUCUGCACAAAUCUGCUACAUUUGGAGAACAAGUCAAAUUAUUGUGUCAUGUUUCUGAUGUUUGUGGGUUGUACUGCACAACAUUAAUAGCUGGUCCUGUGCAUGUUAUUAUGAUUCAGGUGAAGAACCUGCGCUCUGCAGUGUCUUGUGCUGACAGUGAGGUGGAGGGGACGGCACGCAUGCUGCUGCACAAAGCCAGCGAGGCUUUCACUGACCGUUUCUUGAUUGCCGUCAGUAAACUGGCUGUGGACCCUUCACAGGAAGUCAGGUGGGAAGUUCCUCCUGUAAAGUAGCUUGCUUCAACAUAACAGUUAAGGCCGGGAUUCAACCAUGGCUCGCUAUAGCACUAGAUCGCCAACAAUGCAGCUUUUAAAAGGUAAUUUGGUCUUGAGUCAACAUCUGCAGCAUUUACCACGAAUACAAAUUGAAAUUGACUUUAAAAGCCACAUUGUCGUCUGUCUACAGCAUCUAUGCUAAAGGGUGUCAUGGAUUGAAUUGCAGAUUUUAGGUAUUCCAAAACAACCACAGGUUCUCUUGGAGGGGAAUAGUAAUUGAAAACAAAAAGGAAAAAUUAUAAACACAAGUAAGUGCUACGUGGCAUAGGACAAUCCAAGUCCAGGCACCCAUGUGGGUUUGAAAGUUAAAAAGCCAAAGCUUAGCGGGGAUGUUUGGCCGGGAGGGAUGUUCUUCUCCCAUCGCCAACUAGCGACCUCCUGUGGUGGGCGGGGUGCAAUGCACGGACACGGUCACCAGGUGUAUGGUGUUUCCUCCGACACAUUGGUGCUUCCAGGUUAAGCGGGCAUUGUGUCAAGAAGCAGUGCAGCUUGGCUGGGUUGUGUUUCGGAGGACGCACGGCUCUCGACCUUCGCCUCUCCAGAGUCUUUACGGGAGUUGCAGCGAUGGGCAAAGAUUGUAACUACCUAUUGGAUACCACGAAAUUGGGGUAAAAAUGUAAUUACAUUACAAAUCUAAAUGAGUCCAAAUAUUCCGUACCUGAUUCAGUUUCCUUCCAUCUGUUUGGUGCCAUGAGCGCUACAGCAACACCGCUUAACCAAAUAAAGGUCUCUUCCUGGCGCACACUUGCCUUUAUAAAGGGUAACAACACCCCAAAAUCGACAUGUCUUCCGUUUUUCCCAGACCUCAAAAGUGGUUCCCUGCUAGGGUUUUAAACAUUGUCAUGGACAUAGAACAUCUAAUCGUGUUAUAUUUCUAUUAAAAAGGUGUACUUUUGAGAGCGAAAACCUGCAGAAGCAGAGACAAACGGUCGACGGGGGAAAUGUUAACGAAGAAUAGGGGCAUUUUUUUGGGGGGGGGUAUCAGGCAAAAGGGAUUUUACAAGGGCUGAUUUCAAGGUUUUACUGCUAACCUACAAAGCAUUACAUGGGCUUGCUCCUACCUAUCUCUCUGAUUUGGUCCUGCCGUACAUACCUACACGUACGCUACGGUCACAAGAUGCAGGCCUCCUAAUUGUCCCUAGAAUUUCUAAGCAAACAGCUGGAGGCAGGGCUUUCUCCUAUAGAGCUCCAUUUUUAUGGAACGGUCUGCCUACCCAUGUCAGAGACGCAAACUCGGUCUCAACCUUUAAGUCUUUACUGAAGACUCAUCUCUUCAGUGGGUCAUAUGAUUGAGUGUAGUCUGGCCCAGGAGUGGGAAGGUGAACGGAAAGGCUCUGGAGCAACGAACCGCCCUUGCUGUCUCUGCCUGGCCGGUUCCCCUCUUUCCACUGGGAUUCUCUGCCUCUAACCCUAUUACAGGGGCUGAGUCACUGGCUUGCUGGGGCUCUCUCAUGCCGUCCCUGGAGGGGGUGCGUCACCUGAGUGGGUUGAUUCACUGUUGUGGUCAUCCUGUCUGGGUUGGCGCCCCCCCCCCCCCCUUGGGUUGUGCCGUGGCGGAGAUCUUUGUGGGCUAUACUCAGCCUUGUCUCAGGAUGGUAAGUUGGUGGUUGAAGAUAUCCCUCUAGUGGUGUGGGGGCUGUGCUUUGGCAAAGUGGGUGGGGUUAUAUCCUUCCUGUUUGGCCCUGUCCGGGGGUGUCCUCGGAUGGGGCCACAGUGUCUCCUGACCCCUCCUGUCUCAGCCUCCAGUAUUUAUGCUGCAGUAGUUUAUGUGUCGGGGGGCUGGGGUCAGUUUGUUAUAUCUGGAGUACUUCUCCUGUCCUAUUCGGUGUCCUGUGUGAAUCUAAGUGUGCGUUCUCUAAUUCUCUCCUCUCUUUCUCUCUCUCGGAGGACCUGAGCCCUAGGACCAUGCCCCAGGACUACCUGACAUGAUGACUCCUUGCUGUCCCCAGUCCACCUGGCCAUGCUGCUGUUCCAGUUUCAACUUCCACCUGACUGUGCUGCUGCUCUAGUUUCAACUGUUCUGCCUUAUUAUUAUUCGACCAUGCUGGUCAUUUAUGAACAUUUGAACAUCUUGGCCAUGUUCUGUUAUAAUCUCCACCCGGCACAGCCAGAAGAGGACUGGCCACCCCACAUAGCCUGGUUCCUCUCUAGGUUUCUUCCUAGGUAUUGGCCUUUCUAGGGAGUUUUUCCUAGCCACCGUGCUUCUACACCUGCAUUGCUUGCUGUUUGGGGUUUUAGGCUGGGUUUCUGUACAGCACUUUGAGAUAUCAGCUGAUGUACGAAGGGCUAUAUAAAUAAAUUUGAUUUGAUUUGAUUUACAUGAACAUUAGCUAGCUAAAUAAGGUUAGCAAGAUGCUGCUACACUUGACCGUGGUAUUUGUUCAUGUUUAGCAACUCCCAAUUAGCGCAUUCCUCUAGGACAGUCACUUGUGCCUGAAUUCAACAAAAAAACAACAACUAUUCAGUCAGUGUUAAGAGCAGUUGUUUGAAACCAAUCGGAAAGGCAAGCCAAGCUUGCCAGCCGCUCUUGAUUUCCAUUUGACUGACCAUCAGUUUGGCACAACACUGAACUCUAGCCAACCAAAAGGAUAACAUUGAGUAAAAAGGUGUAGGUAACGCCAACAUUAACCUUUUCACACGCGAGUUCCAAAUAUCUUCAACAGUCGCCUCAGUGGGAGUUGAUUUUAUGCGCGUGAUGUCAGAAUGCACUCACCGUUCCAACAUGUGGACAUUUAACCCACGCUGACCUCAGACCAAGGCACACUACCUGCUAAUUUUCUAUAGGCCGUUUCAACUUCUAAUUUUGCCUCAUUCAUUCACAAAUGUAGCCCAUUUCACUGUUGCAGAUCAUUUCCAUUUGAGAAUUUAAUGAGCCGGACAAACUUUCCUUCAAAAGAAAGCCCAAGCACUUCCACAGAUCAAGUAUACAGUCCUUGCACAUUUAUUGUGUUCCUUACAAAUAACUGUGGACAUGCGUGCAUUCUGAUCAAAGUGCCUUAUUUUCUGUGUAACGUGCUGUCGUUUCUACUGUAGUGUACCGUAAGUAUAAUGUACUUAGCAUUUUAUUCAUGCUUUCUGAUUCUUGCCUAGAUUGUAAUGGACACGUGUGUAAAACACUUUUGAAGGUGGUACUGAAUAUGAGCUACAGCUAACGCCAUACAAUGCAGUCAGGUUAUCACGUACGCGUCUGUCAGACUAAUGGUGAUCUCAACUGGAGUACCCCCAUUGUCUUGAAUGCACUGAAUUCGUUAGUUGAUUUGAACACGGCAUCAGAGUGUAAACUAUGGUACCUCAGGGUUGCCAGAUCAGACCCCCUUUCCAGGGAUAUUUAGCUUAGAAAAACUGUCUGCCCCGCCAUUUAUUGUUGAUAAAUCCCCAUCUUAUUAAUAUUUCCUGCAUCAUCCUCUCCAUAAUACCUUCCCCCAAGGACUUCACCUCCCAAAAUGGAUUGAGCUAUAUCUUGCAACUCUGUUUAGCUUUCGUGCUAAGGUUGUAUUGGCUUUUUGAUUAGUUAACUGUAAACUACUUGUCAUGUGUACGCCGUAACAAGUACACAGAUUUGUCACAUGCUGAAGUGGCCAAACUAAGUUAAGACCUCAGGAAAUGGGCACAGUGAACGGCAUUCUGGGAUUAGGGAGUUCUUGCUUGACAAACAUGGCUGCCAUAUUUUCUAAACUAGAUUUACAUGUUCCAAUGGUACGCUGCAGGGACCAGUCAGUGAUAACAAGCAUGUGAUCGUACGCGCCAGACUCUCCCAUAAGUGUUAUAUUGGGUGGAGAUCUGGUGACAGACCGCACAUGGCUCAAACCAUUGUGACCACUCAUGACAUAUGGAUGGGGGCAUAGCCACGGUAGCCAAAGUAAAUGGCCUGCCAAGCAUGAUAGGUUGCUAAUUACUCAGGAACCACACCUGUGGAAUAACACUUGU